rnacentral:rRNA from 1 species
UACGGAGGGUGCAAGCGUUAUCCGGAUUUACUGGGUUUAAAGGGUGCGCAGGCGGAUAUGUAAGUCAGUGGUGAAAUCUCUAGGCUUAACCUGGAAAUUGCCGUUGAUACUAUAUAUCUUGAAUGCUGUGGAGGUAAGCGGAAUAUGUCAUGUAGCGGUGAAAUGCUUAGAUAUGACAUAGAACACCUAUUGCGAAGGCAGCUUACUACGCAGAUAUUGACGCUCAUGCACGAAAGCGUGGGAGUCAAACAGGA